rnacentral:lncRNA from 1 species
AAGCAUAAAAAAACAAUUAAUAACGUUAAAUUUAAAGGUCAAGAAAGCGAAUAAACGACGAGCUGAUUCAUCUUAAAUUAUCUGAAUUAAAAUAAUUUGACCUUAGAUCUCCUUAUUAACAAUUACGAUAAGAGAAGUAGCAGCGUAUAUUAUCCACAUAACAAGGCUAUUAAUUAGCUUACUGCUUGGUAUAUAGGCCGAAGAUUGGGCAGUAAAAAUUAACUGCAAACGGGCCGAAUAUAUAUAUCUAUAUAUAUAGGGCCUAGAUUCAUUCAUCGGAUCGAUAAAUGAUUGGAAUAAUAAAAUUUAUAGGAUGUUAGAGAAGUGCAGUUUUUUGGAGAAAGAAGAAAAAGCUGUGUUGCAGAGGUUGGUAAAUAAGGCAGAUAUUAUAAAUAUCAGACAUUAUUGGUGUAAUUCAGGUCGUAAAAGACAAAAACGGUCACGCUCAGUCGCUCGACAAAGUCAUGUGAUUAGCGCAGUCUUCACCUCGCAGCAAUUUGCCAUCUCCGACCCUGUUACGGUUCCCGAUCACAGCGCCACACCUCGGAGAAUCGACGAACAACCCAUCUAAAGCUACACACAACCGAGGUGAAUAAUGACGUAUAAAAAUGCGACUUGCAUGAUCGCCUACAAAGCUCCGACCACAACUUAUCAAGAAGAGAUGGUAAGGCGAUCCGAGACAGACUAUACCCUAUUCUCCCAACCGAUAUAUGUAUGCAAAUUCCUGUUUCAGACCAACGUAAUUUACUAUGUGGACUGUGUGGAGGCAGAUUUUGGUUUUAAAACCUCAUAUAAUAACCCACAGGUCCUGUCGAGUGGGAAAAGAGAUAGAAAUUCUUGGAAACAACGUACAUAAAAUGGACUCAACUGUUCUCACAUCAUCCGUAUCAUCCGCUGGAUGGAUUAAGUAUGGUUUGCUACAUAUAUAAACCAUGCUGCCGUUCGAAAAAGGAAAAAAAAAAAAAAUGCAUAUUUUUGUAUUCUCCCCUUCUACACGUGGAGCAGGAUCCUUAUAACCCCUACCGAGUGUACCCUAUUGCGGUUUUCACCUGCUGUGCAUCAUCUAAUACUGUCUUUUGACGAAAUGAAAUGAAAGUAGAAAAUACAGAGUGCUUGGGGGAGAAGUAUUGCUUGCAGUAAUAUUCAUCGUUCCUGCCUCUCCCUUUGGGAUGCUGUAAUAAAAGGGAAAAUUUGAUGGAGCGAAGAGGUAUAAUGAUGGCAUAUAAAGGGGAUCUCUAACCUUCCCCAGCGUCCCGUAGGCAAUGUUAACUAGAUCUGUGACGUCAUAUACAACGCCAUUUUGACGUCAUGUGAUCGUACCGGGGAAUAACACACACAACGAUUAUCACAGAGAGGCGCACACUUUAGUAUUAACGGAUUGACAAAAAAAAAAAAAUUCGUUUAAAAGUUUUCGUUUUCUUAGGUAGGUACAGUUUCAUCUUUAGAAAUUUAGAAACUAAACCUCCUUGGAGGUUCUUUAGACGACCAAUUAGGCCUAUAUAAACCUAUGUAAGCUCUAUAUUGCAUUCAAAUUUCCGGGUCUAUCUCGUCUUCCGGUAGUAAAAUUCGACUCGAGCGAAAUUUAAUACGACCAAACACGUAGUUACGUUAAAAUUUAGAGAUCUGCUUAUGAUUAGGCCGUCUCUUAACCGAAUAAUGGAUGAAUGAAUGAAUAUUA